rnacentral:rRNA from 1 species
GUGGGGAAUCUUCCGCAAUGGACGAAAGUCUGACGGAGCAACGCCGCGUGAGUGAAGAAGGUUUUCGGAUCGUAAAGCUCUUUCGUUAGGGACGAACGUGCUCUUUGUGAAUAAUGAGGAGUAAUGACGGUACCUAAAUAAGAAGCCACGGCUAACUACGUGCCAGCAGCCGCGGUAAUACGUAGGUGGCAAGCGUUGUCCGGAAUUAUUGGGCGUAAAGCGCGCGCAGGCGGGAUAUCAAGUCUGUCUUAAAAGUGCGAGGCUCAACCUCGUGAGGGAACAGAAACUGGUAAUCUUGAGUGUCGGAGAGGAAAGUGGAAUUCCAAGUGUAGCGGUGAAAUGCGUAGAGAUUUGGAAGAACACCAGUGGCGAAGGCGACUUUCUGGACGAUGUCUGACGCUGAGGCGCGAAAGCUAGGGGAGCGAACGGGAUUAGAAACCCCGGUAGUCC